CUGUUGUAACCUUCUACCUUCCGGUGGGUUACUGAUUUUAAGAUUUGCAGUAUAAGACUCAAAAGUAUUCCUCUUGUUAUACAGGUGGGUGCCUGAAUGCAAAAAAAUGAAAUGUAUGCCCGUAUUAUACUGGUGGGCGACCUAGAACAGAAAUGAAAAGACAGAAAUGUAUUCCCGCAUUAUACUGGUGGGCGACCUAGAAUAGAAAUGAAGAGACAGAAAAUGUAUUCCCGCAUUAUACUGGUGGGCGACCUAGAACUGAAAGUAUUCCCGCAUUUUACUGGUGGGCGACCUAGAGCUGAAAAGUAUUCCCGCAUUUUACUGGUGGGCGACCUAGAACUGAAAGUAUUCCCGCAUUUUACUGGUGGGCGAUCUAGAGCUGAAAAGUAUUCCCGCAUUUUACUGGUGGGCGAUCUAGAACUGAAAAGUAUUCCCGCAUUUUACUGGUGGGCGACCUAGAACUGAAAAGUAUUCCCGCAUUUUACUGGUGGGAGACCUAGAGCUGAAAAGUAUUCCCGCAUUUUACUGGUGGGCGACCUAGAACUGAAAGUAUUCCCGCAUUUUACUGGUGGGCGACCUAGAACUGAAAAGUAUUCCCGCAUUUUACUGGUGGGCGACCUAGAGCUGAAAAGUAUUCCCGCAUUUUACUGGUGAGCGACCUAGAGCUGAAAAGUUACCCGCAUUUUACUGGUUGGCGACCUAGAACUGAAAAGUAUUAAAAUUGUUUCCUCGUUCUUCCGAGGAAAUUUUUGACAAUCGGCAUAAAAUUUUCUGCCCCGGUUUUGUUGAUUUCCCUGGCAUCGCGUCUUGCUGCCAUCAUCCAUCCUUCGCUUUCCUGCAGCAGACAAAAGGAUUUAGUUAGUUUUAAUCAUGGUGGGAGGAGGUGCCUUUCCGGUGGAUGAUUUUUCCUCUCUUUCCCUUUUCUUGCUCUGUGCCCCCAUAACUGGUUGGUGGACAAAGUUGCUUGCUGGAGGUUUCCGGCCUGCUGGGGAUUGGUUUUCAAUUUAUCCCUUUUUCUGCUUUCUCUUUACAGUACAUGCCGUGGGAGUCUGCUUUUACUCCCGGAAACACUCCCUUUAGGAGUUUACUUCCUCCAAAACUGCAGGGCACAACAUUGCAUUGCCUGGGGCUAGCCUUUAGGACUGUUGGGGUUACCCUGCAUCGGAUGAAUCCCUCUUCGGUCUUUGGUAGUAAGCUUUAAAAAAUCCUUUUCAAGACAAAUUUUUAGAAAGAGAAAUAAAAAG
rnacentral:lncRNA from 1 species